GCCGGCGUGGCGGAAUUGGCAGACGCGCGGGACUCAAAAUUCCGUUCCCUCUGGGAGUGUCGGUUCGACCCCGACCGCCGGUA
rnacentral:tRNA from 1 species